rnacentral:rRNA from 1 species
AGCGAACGCUGGCGGCAGGCCUAACACAUGCAAGUCGAACGAAGUCUUCGGACUUAGUGGCGGACGGGUGAGUAACACGUGGGAACGUGCCUUUAGGUUCGGAAUAACUCAGGGAAACUUGUGCUAAUACCGAAUGUGCCCUUCGGGGGAAAGAUUUAUCGCCUUUAGAGCGGCCCGCGUCUGAUUAGCUAGUUGGUGAGGUAAUAGCUCACCAAGGCUACGAUCAGUAGCUGGUCUGAGAGGAUGACCAGCCACAUUGGGACUGAGACACGGCCCAAACUCCUACGGGAGGCAGCAGUGGGGAAUUUUGCGCAAUGGGCGAAAGCCUGACGCAGCCAUGCCGCGUGGAUGAUGAAGGUCUUAGGAUUGUAAAAUCCUUUCACCGGUGAAGAUAAUGACUGUAGCCGGAGAAGAAGCCCCGGCUAACUUCGUGCCAGCCGCCGCGGUAAGAC